UACGUAGGUGGCGAGCGUUGUCCGGAUUUACUGGGCGUAAAGGGCGCGUAGGCGGCCACCGCAAGUCGGUUGUGAAAUCUCUGGGCUUAACCCAGAAAGGUCAACCGAUACUGCGGGGCUAGAGUGCAGAAGGGGCAACUGGAAUUCUCGGUGUAGCGGUGAAAUGCGUAGAUAUCGAGAGGAACACCUGCGGCGAAGGCGGGUUGCUGGGCUGACACUGACGCUGAAGCGCGAAAGCUAGGGGAGCGAACGGG
rnacentral:rRNA from 1 species